rnacentral:lncRNA from 1 species
CUAAGACAUUUUUCCUUUUCAUAUUUGAACAUUUCUGAAAUCAAGGUAUAUCUUCAAGUGAUGCCCCUUCAUAAAUACUUAGCAGUACUUUCUCAAGUCUGUAUGAAAGCACUGUGGGUCCUACACGUCAAAGACAAGCUUUCUAGUCCGCAAACUGCAGUGGCUCUCAUUGGCCCAAGCGCAUCACGUGUCUCUCACCCGCCAAUCACUGCAACUCUGGUUGGGAAGCCAUAGGCUCAUCUCUGGUGUUAACUAGUUGGAGUCAGCAUCACCUAAGCAAAAGGAGCGACAGAGGAAUGGCAGUUUCUGAGAGGAAAAUCAAAGUGUCACUGCCCCCCGGAGAGAUGGCUGUGGAUUCCCGGCAGGCAGAAACAACUGCUGCCUCCUCUGCUCAGAGUCAUUCCGGAAUUCGGAAAUUCUGGCCACCUGCAGUGUGCAAAGGCAGCUGGCCAGGCAAGGAAGCUGGCGCCAGGUCCCAGGGCCCCUCCCUGGAGGGAGCAAAGGCCUCUCGGGUUGCAGCUGCAGAAAGAGGGAGGAGAGAAGAGGGACAGGAUGGAGUGGAGAGCCUUGGAGGCAGUGGUUUGGACAUCAACUCGGUCCUGAGGUUGUCAAGUUUAAUCCUCAACUCCUGCAAGUUCCCAGAAGCAGACAUUCUUUUUUUUUUUUUUUUUUUUUUUUUUUUUGCAUUGUUCUGUUCCGGGAGCUACGAACUCAAGUGUCUACAGAACAUGUCAGAUAGCAUAAACAAGAGAAGUGGCCAAGGCUAAUAAAGAUCAUUCAGCUCUCUUGGUCUGGCUUUUGCUUUCUCACUUUUGACAGAGACAUGAAAGCAGAGGAAUAGUUCUUACUAUAAAAAUGCACACACAGUACAGUCAGUGAUGGGGGCAAGUGACACUCAUCCUUGGUUGGGGAGCAGUAGACUGUGGGUGGUGACUGUGGCACACCUCCUACCAGCCAGUUUGCUGUUUUGCAGAAAUCUGGCCCAGUGUGGCCAGAAAUUACCAUUUUUAAAGAGAAGCUGGAAAUCCAGAUUUGUAUGUGGUGUCUCCC